CGGCAAAAGAGACCGAUAGAAUAAGCACUAGGCUUACAAAGAAUAAGUCCUGGGGUCGAUUUGCUCGACUAAAGGCAGUGCUCCAACAUGGGCACAGUCACAUGACAAGUAAAAGAGUAAAAUGAAAAGUGUAUGUAAGUACUGCAUCUCUUUUUCACAUGUCUCUCUAAUGUUCCUCACAAAUAUAUAUGACCAAUUUUUUUUAGGGGCCCACACCAAAAAAAGUAAAACACAAAUGAGUUAAAGAGAAAAUAUUUAUAGAAGGAAGACUGUUGGGGACUGUAUGUGGCCCUAGGAGCCACUGUUGAUAACUGAUGGUCUGUUAAACAUGCUGAGAUCUACAUUAUUAUACAGUUAGUGAUAAAGAUAAAAACUAAAAAUGUUAGGUUGCAAAAAUUGACUGGAUCUAGAGGAAAUAAAUAGUUGACCAAGGGAUAUAUGACAUUUAAUUAACUGUGGGCGCAACUGUUUUCAUUGCAAGACAUGUUAUAUCCAUUCUAAUUUGUUACCAUAUUUUAAGCAGUAAUAGAUUCUUUUAACUUUUUUUUUGGCUUAUGCUUGAGACAGAUAUUUACCUCUUAAAAUCUCGUGUUACCUCUAAUGUUAUAAGAACUUCAUUAAGAUUAUUAAUUUUAAUUUAAACAUUAGAGGUAAUCACAAACUAGGUGAGGGGGACGAAGAGGUUUAAGAUAAGUUUUUUUUUUAAAGGAAGAUUUGGCUGUUAUGUUGAACAGACUAAAAAAAAACAUGUUGAAGCUUUGAAGUUUAAAUUUUUGUUUAUUAUUAUUAUCAUUAUUACUACUUUGUAUUGCUCUCUGGGCAGGAGCAUUUAAAGUUAAUGCUAGUUGGUUUUACAACUUCACUGUUAAACCUUUUGGUAGACUUAUCCUAAGUUUUUCUACUUUGCAGUCAUUGCAUCACAGUCACAUUUUGUGAUAACUUCACUUUCAUUUUGUAAAUAUUCCAUAACUAUUACUGGCUAAUGUUGUAAAUUCAAAAAAAUUUAUAGCAUCCUCCAAGACAAUGCUGGUGGUACUUCAGUUACUAAUUCAUUGGCUAAGCAUAAGUUAUUCAUUCAUUGUAGAGUAGGUUUAAGAUAAACUAAUUAAAUUUGGUUUAAAAUUUUUUUCUUUUUUCAAAUAAAACUGAUUUUAAGAGAGAUUAAAGAAAAAGAAACAUAUUGCCUUAAAUCUUUUGUAAAAUGCGCCAGCAUUUUAGUUGGUAGCAAAAAUUACUUGUAGGGCUAACUUGGUGCAAGAAGCACAUAUAUAACUGAAUUGACCAAUUUGGUUGUUUGUGACAUCUCAUGAACAUGACGGAGCUGGGAAAGUUACUCAGAUUCUUAUUGUUUUGUACAUCCCCCCCAUUACAAAACUCAUUUGUCAAAUUGAUUGAAAAUUGUAAAUAAAACUUUUACUAAUUUGAAUUAUUAUAUUGGAAAUGCUGAUUCCUUGUACAAAUCUA